AUGAUCAUAGGAGAUUUUAAUGAGAUCCUAGUAGCAAGUGAGAAUGAUGGUGGUAACAUCAGGCCCUUACAAUUUAUGCAAAGUUUCAGAGAUUGUAUAGAGGAAUGUGGAUUGCAGGAAAUUAUGUAUAUCGGGGACCAAUUUACGUGGAGUCGAGGAGUGAUAAGGGAAUGGCUUGAUAGAGCUCUCUGUACUGAAAAAUGGGCUAAAAAUUUUCCCUUCGCAGCUGUUGUUCAUGAACACCAUACCCACUCAGAUCAUCGACCCCUAGUCUUGGAUACAGACUACUUUGCCGGUGUGCCUUCACAACAACCUAAGGGCGAGAGGAGAUUCAAAGCAAGGUGGCUGAACGAAGAGACAGUAAAUGAGAUUGUCACAACGGCAUGGCAGCGCGCACAGCUAUCCGGAGUUGGGCCGUCACUGUCGGAGCGCACAUGA
rnacentral:rRNA from 1 species